GACGAACGCUGGCGGCGUGCCUAAUACAUGCAAGUAGAACGCACAGUUUAUACCGUAGCUUGCUACACCAUAAACUGUGAGUUGCGAACGGGUGAGUAACGCGUAGGUAACCUGCCUGGUAGCGGGGGAUAACUAUUGGAAACGAUAGCUAAUACCGCAUAAUAUUAAUUAUUGCAUGAUAAUUAAUUGAAAGGUGCAAUUGCACCACUACCAGAUGGACCUGCGUUGUAUUAGCUAGUAGGUGAGGUAACGGCUCACCUAGGCGACGAUACAUAGCCGACCUGAGAGGGUGAUCGGCCACACUGGGACUGAGACACGGCCCAGACUCCUACGGGAGGCAGCAGUAGGGAAUCUUCGGCAAUGGACGAAAGUCUGACCGAGCAACGCCGCGUGAGUGAAGAAGGUUUUCGGAUCGUAAAGCUCUGUUGUAAGAGAAGAACGGGUGUGAGAGUGGAAAGUUCACACUGUGACGGUAUCUUACCAGAAAGGGACGGCUAACUACGUG
rnacentral:rRNA from 1 species